rnacentral:lncRNA from 1 species
GCGAGGGGAGAGAGGCUGCAGAUGAUGAAGUCGCAGCGAGGGCUAGAGCUUACUCCGGCGCCGCCCGCGGGAGCGACACAGGAGUCCUCUCCUCCUACUACUUGUGAAGUUUUUGUCCAUCUCAGUUGUGACAGUACAAAGGAUCAGCUUAAAUAUUUUUGUCUUCCAAAAAUUCCCCUCGGACUUUGUUAUAGUAUACGUGAUGUCAUGGUAUUACAUUACAUCAAUCGUUGAAUCCGCUCAGACUGAUAGUCCAUAUCCAGAUACAGUGUAAAGGAACUCUAAAUUAUUUGGGAUGAACAUUAGCACGUUUGGUUGGAAGUCAAAAUCGUAUGUUGACUUGUCGUGCCUCGUACUACCUGGGUUAGACUUCGCACCAUAUUUUUCAGAGAGAUAAGAAGCAGUGCAUGCAACAUCCGCGUAGGUGCGGAUAGGCAGGCAGAAAAGAAUUCUCCGAUCACUGCUUAUGUCGUCAAAUUCUCUGCCGAGUCGCACACGUACGAAGAAAGUACGUACACGGUAUUUGAGAGAAAUGCAGCCGAUCAGUUUCCUUUAAAGCAAAU